UACGUAGGUGGCAAGCGUUGUCCGGAUUUAUUGGGUUUAAAGGGUGCGUAGGCGGUCUAUUAAGUCAGUGGUGAAAUACUCUAGCUCAACUAGAGGGGUGCCAUUGAUACUGAUGGACUUGAGUACAGAUGAGGUAGGCGGAAUUGACGGUGUAGCGGUGAAAUGCUUAGAUAUCGUCAAGAACACCUAUAGCGAAGGCAGCUUACUAGGCUGUAACUGACGCUGAGGCACGAAAGCGUGGGGAUCAAACAGG
rnacentral:rRNA from 1 species